GAUGAACGCUGACAGAAUGCUUACCACAUCAGCAAUUGAUUGGUGGCGGACGGGUGAGUAACGCAUACAGAACUUGCCUAACAAGUAGGGACCACAUUUGGAAACGAAUGGUACUACCUAAUACUGUGAGCGCGAUUUACGUCACAUUAGAUAGUUGGAGCGGUAACGUCGCACCAAAGCGAUGAUGGGUAGCCGGCCUGAGAGGGUGAUCGGCCACAAGGGGACUGAGACACGGCCCUUAGUCAUACGGGCGGCAGCAGGUGGGAAUAUGGGAGAAGGGACCAAAGUCUGAUCCAGCAAUUCUGGGUGAACGAUGAAGUUUUUGGAAUGGAAAGUGCUUUCAGUGGGGAAGCGGUACCAACAGAAGAAGUGAAGGCUAAAUACGUGCCAGCAGCCGCGGUAAUAC
rnacentral:rRNA from 1 species